rnacentral:rRNA from 1 species
AUUGAACGCUGGCGGCAUGCCUUACAUAUGCAAGUCGAACGGUAACAGGUUAAGCUGACGAGUGGCGAACGGGUGAGUAAUACAUCGGAACGUGCCCAGUAGUGGGGGAUAGCCCGGCGAAAGCCGGAUUAAUACCGCAUACGACCUAAGGGUGAAAGGGGGGGAUCGCAAGACCUCUCGCUAUUGGAGCGGCCGAUGUCAGAUUAGCUAGUUGGUGGGGUAAAAGCUCACCAAGGCGACGAUCUGUAGCUGGUCUGAGAGGACGACCAGCCACACUGGGACUGAGACACGGCCCAGACUCCUACGGGAGGCAGCAGUGGGGAAUUUUGGACAAUGGGCGCAAGCCUGAUCCAGCCAUGCCGCGUGCGGGAAGAAGGCCUUCGGGUUGUAAACCGCUUUUGUCAGGGAAGAAAUCCUUUGGGUUAAUACCUCGGGGGGAUGACGGUACCUGAAGAAUAAGCACCGGCUAACUACGUG